UACGUAGGGUGCAAGCGUUGUCCGGAAUUAUUGGGCGUAAAGAGCUUGUAGGCGGUUUGUCGCGUCUGCUGUGAAAUUUCGGGGCUCAACCUCGAACUUGCAGUGGGUACGGGCAGACUAGAGUGUGGUAGGGGAGACUGGAAUUCCUGGUGUAGCGGUGAAAUGCGCAGAUAUCGGGAAGAACACCCGUGGCGAAGGCGGCUCUCUGGGACGGUACUGACGCUGAGACGCGAAAGCGUGGGGAGCGAACAGG
rnacentral:rRNA from 1 species